rnacentral:rRNA from 1 species
GAUGAACGCUGGCGGCGUGCUUAACACAUGCAAGUCGAACGGAAAGGUGCUGAUUUUGUGGGGUUCACGAGUGGCGCACGGGUGAGUAACACGUGUGUAUCACGUCCUUGUCUUUCGGGUAUAUUCUGGAAACUCGGGCUAUUAUACGAUAGAAUAUAUUGAUCCAUGGUGGGCGAUGGUAAGAUUCGGUGGUUGGGGCUGGACUAGCGGCUUAUCCGCUUGCUUGUGGGGUAGUGGAUUUCCAGGUUUUUGACGGGUAGGCGGCCUGAGAGGGGAGACAGCCACAUUAGGACUGAGGUAGGGCCCAGACUCCUACGGGAGGCAACAGUCGAGAAUAUUGCACAAUGGGCCGAAGCCAGAUGCAGCAACGCCGCGAGCGUGAUGACGGCCUUCGAGGUAAAAACCGCUGUCGCCUGUGACAAAGCGGGAGUGACGGUAAUGAAUAAAAAAGCACCGGCUAACUACGUG